rnacentral:rRNA from 1 species
GAUGAACGCUGGCGGCGUGCUUAACACAUGCAAGUCGAACGAUGAAGCCCAGCUUGCUGGGUGGAUUAGUGGCGAACGGGUGAGUAACACGUGAGUAACCUGCCCUUAACUCUGGGAUAAGCCUGGGAAACUGGGUCUAAUACCGGAUAGGAGCGCCUACCGCAUGGUGGGUGUUGGAAAGAUUUAUCGGUUUUGGAUGGACUCGCGGCCUAUCAGCUUGUUGGUGAGGUAAUGGCUCACCAAGGCGACGACGGGUAGCCGGCCUGAGAGGGUGACCGGCCACACUGGGACUGAGACACGGCCCAGACUCCUACGGGAGGCAGCAGUGGGGAAUAUUGCACAAUGGGCGAAAGCAUGAUGCAGCGACGCAGAGUGAGGGAUGACGGCCUUCGGGUUGUAAACCUCUUUCAGUAGGGAAGAAGCGAAAGUGACGGUACCUGCAGAAGAAGCACCGGCUAACUACGUG